GUGAUUAUGGAGGCGGAGAUGCCACAGGACCUGCUGUCUCAAGCUGGAGGCCCGGGAGAGCAGUGAUGCAUCCAGACCAGUCCAGGGGCUGAAACCGCAGGGGCGUGGGUAUAGGUCCCAGAGUCCACGGGCAGGAGGAGAGGCAGGUCCCAGCUCAAGGAGGGAGAGUGGAUUCCUCUGUGCCGUUGCUAUCUGGGCCCUCAGCACGCUGGUGCCCAUCACCCACGCUGGGCAGCGGAUCUCCCCAACUCAGCCUACUGACUCAAAGACCAGUCUCUCCCAUAAACCCCUCAAAGACCACCCGAGACAAUUCUCUUGGCCCCCAGCCCGGCCAAGCUGACAUGAAAUCCACCAUCACACAGUGACAGAACAGCAAGAAGGAAGGUUUCGGAGCACCUUGGUCUAACUCACCUCUUUUCUUGAAUCUGUGUCUGCAGAACCUCUCAACUCAGUCUUCACUGAGCCCAUUUCUUUCUGUUCUGUUUGUCCAGACACAUCUGCGCUCAGGACAAUGACUCUCAAGACAGGCGCCUGCUUCAGCAAGGAAAGGGGCCAGGUGUGGACCAAAUUCUGGGUCUGAGGUGAGGUGGCCCCUUUCUACGUGUGAGCUCUGCUCUCAGGGAAUCACCUGGUGCCUCCCCAGUGUACACAUUGAAUGUUUAUCUCCUUCCACAGCAUCCAACCCCUAACAGGUCAUCAGAAUCAGCAUCUGGACCCACUGCUACUUGGCAUUCUACCCUCCCUGCCUGUAAACCCCUAAUAUUAAAAUGACAGGUCUCUAAUUACACAGUGAGAGUAACAGAUGAACGGUCUGUCAGGGAAGAGGCACUGAGUCCACAAAAGUAGGCACUCUCUGGUUUGGAUGUCAUCAGAAAACCUUGCACUUUCACAAGGAAGUUCAUAGCCCUGACUUCCCGGAAAGUCAUCAAAUGUCUGAGCUGCAUUUUCAGAGUGACGGAUGACACAGUGUUGGCUCCUCCAGACAAUAGGUUUGAGAUUUCAAAUUGCUGAACAGUCAAAGCUGCACCUGUCCGAGCCUGACCACACUGCACCAGUGCAGAGGUGCAACUCAAUCGCGGAUGAAGAAGGCCGCUCAGCAGAUCCCUGCAGGAGAUGCCCCACUUGGACUCCCCGGCUAGAUGCUGGCGCCCUGAUUCCUGCAAGCAUUGCACAAGGUGCCCCAGGCUGGCAAGGAGGUUAGAUGGGGAGCUGAUGCUCUUGGGGAUGGGCAAGCUGUGAGUCCGGAACAGACCGUUCACCGGAUAAGAACAUGGACAGAUUCCAGCGGGAAGAGGACACUGUCGGACGUUCCUUAGAGUGAAGAGAUGCCGGACUGUCAGGAGGAAGAGGGAACUCAGAAGGUGGCACUGGGAUGAGUGGGGCCAGGCGAGUGGGCAGGGCUGCGAGGACACAGGGUCCCAGGAUGUGGCUGCACCCGCAGGCUCUGGAAAGCAGGCGCGAGUGGCAGAGGGACGCAGCCUAGACCAGACAGUCCAUUGUGAUGACUUUAUCCUAACCCGGGGGACAUCUAGCAACGUCUGGAGACACUUUUAUUGCCAUGACUGGUGCUUAGUGGGUGGAGCCCAGGGAUGCUGUGAAACCUCCCACAAUGUGCAGGACAGAAGCGUCUGCCCAGCAUGAUGUCAACAGCUGAGAAACCCUCACGGAGCCCCAGACCAUUCAGCACAUAGCAAGCACUCGAUAAGUAACUCUGGAUGAAGACAGUGCUCUGAAAUCCUGAUCAUCUCACAUGCCUUCCUGAAGGCUUUGUUCCUCAUUUAUAGCAAAAGUAGUCUGUCUGCAUUUGGGGGGGAAGAGCUGCUAAAAAAAAAUCACAUGUAACAAGCACGUGUGGCCGGUCCUGACACAUGCAUAGGAACACUGUGGCAAAGUGAAGUCACAAUGUCCAGUGACAUCAAACUCUAUUAUCCAUGAGGAGGAGGGCAAAGCACUAUGGCUGCUGCCAUAGGACGACCCGGCCCGUCCGCUGAUGCAGAAGAGCGAGUGGAGUGGAGUGGGCAGGCCUUUGGGGGCGCAGGAACUUCACAGUUCAUUAGCUGCCUGCCCAACUCCUGGCCCGCUGCCACACCAGUUAAUACCGGUUUGGAGGUGAAGUUCACACACAGAGAAGUUCUUGCUGACCGCAGGGAUCGAGAACCGUAGGUGGCACUGGCAGCCACCCAGCACCACGGGGGCACUGGCACCUGGUGCAACACCGAAUCCAGGAAUGGUGAUCGCAGAAGCACACUUCCUGCGGGCCCUGGGUGUGGGCUGGUCCCACCGCCCACCGGCCAUGUCCCCGGCCACAUCCCCGGGCAGGUACACCUCCCAGCGUGGGCCGCAGGCACCUCUCCUGCAAGGCCAGAAGCAGCACUGAGUGCUGAUGUGCAGCACUGAAAUGCAGGGUCUGCCUCUGCGAGAACCUCCUCCCUGUUCUCCCUGGCUUCCAUCUCCAGAGAAAACUGCUCAGCUACUGCUCGAUGCCCUGCAUGGAGAAGAUCCCUAACGUCGGUCUGUUUAUUGGCCAAGAAAGCUGGUGACCAGAGAUGGGGGGCUUUACGCAGUGAGUCAGGAAUGUGUCAAUCCAGAUAACCUAAUUCAUUCAAUACCACUUACCUAAAACAACUACGACCAAAAAGAAGCUGAAGAAAUGUGUACACAUUUUGCAACAUCAGACAGCUGUCCAUGGAGCUGUGUUAAAGUUAAUUCUGAAGAUGAUGGGAAAAAACAAUAGACAUAAAAAUAAUAUUUUAAAGGCAACACAUGGAUUUCCAUUUGUUUUCAUUUUUACAUAUCACUAAGAAAGAUAAAUCCAUGUGCUGUGAAUAUAAUCUGAUAUAGAAACUUGUGAUGAAUAAAGGGCACACCUCAACACCCGAUGUCUCGUGCUAAGGAGAAUCUGAUCCAUGAGGUGUCCCUGCAGGAAUGGGGCGCUGCUCUCGCCGUCUCCGUCUCAGGCAGGGUAGUGGGGUCCAAACACUUGCUGAGACCCUGCCGUUAGUCUUACUUAGCGGGUCUCAUGGGCCGUGUCCAGCAACACACAUCUUGCUUUCCUGUCCCAUUACCGUAUUCUGCUGGGUGUGGCCCAGAGCCCAGACCACACAGCGCUCACAGGGAAGGGAGCAAACAAGCAUUUCCUUCCCGUUCUCAGGGUGAAAUUCUAACUCUGGCAACUUUGUAUAAAAAGUCACCCCCUUCCCUUAUAGACUCUUAGCACUGUGCCUCUUAAAUACAGGUGAGCAAGAAUAAUCAGGAAGAAACGUCCGUAUGUCUGGUGGGGCAUAGACAUCCACGCCAGGCUUUAAAAGAAACAGACCCUUGUGAUCAAAACAUACUCUCUGUGAAGGGAGGGGAGGUUGGCACACACGUCUUGGUCUCUGGGCCCUGUGCUGUCAUUGGCGGGGAGAUGGGUGCACACACACUGGGCUGGAUCUGGUCUCCACAUACACUGAGGGUGCUGUAGGAGCUGGCCCAGCCCCCAGAGGGACAACCACUGCCCCGUGUGCUCUUCCAGGUGAAGUUCAGCCCUGGGCUGAACAGGUUGAGUUCAGCCAAGAGCAGGACAGGUUGAGUCCCUUGAAUUUUCUUCCUGGAAUGUGCAAGAUGCUCUCUCAGGCACCUCGGUGGUGCCCACGUUCCCUGUCCCAAGGUGGGCUGGGAAACUUCCAGAGAAGAGGGUCCAUGGGCGAUAUUUCAAAAGUGCAUUCAUGGCAGAUGCUCAGGAAAUAGCAAUUGGCUAUUAUUUCUGGUGUCCCUGCUCUGCAGAACGAUACCAAGAAAAACAUAAAAUUUCUGGAAAUGUAUUGUCAUUUGAAAGUCGCAUGAAGCACCUACGUAUAUUUCUUUAAUAUACUUGAAUGGGGACAUGGAAAGUGGCCAGUGAUGGUCCCAUUACUUUAUGCUGAGGAUGCGGGGUACAGUGUCCCUCGGGACUUGAGCUGCAAGCCCAGGAGGCGGCCUAGGGAACCCUCAGGAGUUACCGGCGAAACGCAGGACAGUUGAGCUUCAAUCACUCGCCAAUCACAUUAGCAAAAUUCAAAGUCAUUUUCCUUAACAAAUUUAGGGACUUUAUCAUCAUCUAGCAAUAAAGACUGACAUAAAACCCUAAGGAGAAGUAUAUGGAUCCCAUUUAUAUUUCAGAUCAUCAGAAGGGAUAUUGAUGCAAGAUCUUCAGUCCCCACAGUACAGUUGCUCGGGGAGUGCACAGACUCGGUAAAAGCGAGAGGCUGACAGCGUGAAGCCAGGGGAGGCCAUUCAGUUCUUUCUAGGUUUUCAUAAUCAGCUGAUUUUGCAAAUAUAAAGACAUUAUUGGCACCUUAUGAAGGAAGCUUCUUCAAUAUUAAAGGCAUAAUUUUGUUUCCUUUAUAUUAGUUUUAGGUUAUAUGUGUUUGUUUCAGUGCUAGGAAAAAAAGAGCAUCUGUAAAGUAUAGCACAUUUGUAAGGAUUUGCCUAGAGAUAUAGGCAAGUGUGUUUGUCUUGAAUAUUAAACAAAGGUGGAUAGUUUAUACAAUGUAACCACCUAUAGAAUUUAUUAGACAGCAACGAAACAUUUAAAACAAUUCCAGGUGGCUGGUGAGUUUAUAUUUCUCUCUAAAGC